AUUUUCGAUUCCGAAAUAAGAAGAUCUAUCUAUGAUGUAUUUAUAUGUUGCAUAAUAUAUAAAGAACGUAUAGAUAGGAGUGAAAGGCUUUCAAUUCUUGUGAUAUCUGAUUAAUAGUUAAAUAUAUUUAGUAUAGGCCAAAUUCUUAUAUAUAUAAUGUUAAGAUUAUAUAUAAACAUAAAUUAAUUUUGUUAAAUCACCUUUAAAAUAAGUUUAAUGGGUCAUAUAUAGAUAAAAAUAAAUUUAUUGACAUUUAUGUUAAGUAGCUAUUGACUAGCCUUAACAGUCAGUCGAAGUAAAUAAUGUAAAGAUUAGUAGAUACUACACAAAAUAUAAAUAAGGAACUCGGCAAAUAAUGGCCGCUCAACUGUUUAACAAAAACAUAGCUUGAUGUAAUAAAUAUUAAGUAAUGUCUGCCCGGUGAGAAAUUUAACGGCCGCAGUACUUUGACUGUGCUAAGGUAGCAAAAUAAAUAGGCUUUUAAUUAAGGUCGAGUAUGAAUGGUAACAUGGGUGGCAGCUGUCUCAUUUUGUAAAAUUUUAAUUUAAUUAGUAGGUGAAAAUGCCUACCUAAAUACAUUAGACGAGAAGACCCUUAGAGUUUUUAAAACUUUAACUAGUAAGUAUUUAUGAAUUUUUUGUUGGGGCGACACAGUAGUACUUUAACCUACUUAGAUACACAUAUUACGGGACUUUAUUGAAAACAUAUGAAUAUAACUACCUAAGGGAUAACAGCAUAAUUUUUUUUUAAGAUUGUGACCUCGAUGUUGGACUAGGAAAUAGGUGUAUUAGUCAUAUACCUUAUAAUAUUCUGUUCGAAUAAAUUUUACCUACAUGAUCUGAGUUCAGACCGGUGCAAGCCAGGUCAGUUUCUAUCUAUUUAAUUGAUAGGGUUAGUACGA
rnacentral:rRNA from 1 species